rnacentral:rRNA from 1 species
CGGGACGGGUGAGUAAUGUCUAGGGAAACUGCCUGAUGGAGGGGGAUAACUACUGGAAACGGUAGCUAAUACCGCAUAACGUCGCAAGACCAAGAGGGGACCUUCGGGCCUCUUGCCAUCGGAUGUGCCCAGAUGGGAUUAGCUAGUAGGUGGGUAAAGGCUCACCUAGGCGACGAUCCCUAGCUGGUCUGAGAGGAUGACCAGCCACACUGGAACUGAGACACGGUCCAG